AAAAGUGAGCAUUCCGCUAGUGGUAUUGUAUGGCGAGGCUCUUGGCUCCUUCUCCGUCGUCAUCCUCCCAAGUUCUUCAGUUUGCUAAAUCAGUUUACUCAGCUUGGAUGGCUGCAUGUCUAAGAUGUCCCUCUUUACUUUCCACUUUUUCAGAGCAGCUUGUUAAAUGGCAGAGACCUAGGCCUGGUUAUGCGAAGAUCAAUGUGGAUGCAGCAACUCGAGUGGAGAAUACCUGGUCUCAAAAGUGAGGUUACUUUUCUUGCUGCUGCAUCUUUUCGUGUACAGGGGUGUUAUGAACCAGUGCUGGCGGAGAUUUUGGGCAUUCGGGAGGCACUCGGCUGAAUCAAGGAUACUGGACCUCUGUUAUUUUGGAAUCUGACAGUCUGACUGCAAUUUCCGCUCUUCGUCAUGCUCGUGCUACUGGUUCCUAUUUUGAUAUUGUGGUUCUGUGGCUCUUGAUAUGCACAAUGUUUCUUCAGUCAGGUUAGGAGAUCUAAAACUGUGCUGCUCAUUGUGUUUAGGUUAGGCAGCAAGUUCCGUGUCUGAUCAUCGGGAGUGGAUUUCAUAUCCUCCUCCUGCCUUUGUUGAUGUUCUAUUAGCUGACGGGAUAAUUACUAUCAUAUUCUUAUGUUUAAUCAAACUAAUUAAAUUACCUCUCUAUUUUAUAAAUUAGAUUAAAAUAUUUUUCUAAUUUAAUUCUGUUAAUCUUAAAAGAGAUUCGUCCAAUUUUAACCCUUUUAGCCAUUAGCCCAUAUAAAAAUUUAUUAAUUUCAUAACUAUCCUCCAAUGCAAUCUUCAUCCACUCUCCUCAAUAUUUUUUUUCAGUGGCGAUGCUCUCUCCUUUCUCUAUUUAACCUCUUACCUUUCUCUCUCUUCGAGACAAUUUCAAUUCACUUUCUUGAUUUUCAUUUUUAGCUGUCAGCUUCUUUUCUAUCUAUUGUCGGGUCACCAUUCGAUUCUCCACUCUCAUUUUUUUCCCUCUGCACUUAGUUUCUCCUAUGUCGAAUGAGUAUUGCUUUCCAUUUUUUCAGUGGAAUCUCAUCGAAUUGAAAAGAGAAAUUGACAAUCUCCUCUCUCUAGCGGUUACUGGGUUCUAACUUGAUUGGGGCUCUCUAUUACCUCACACAUUUCCUCAAUCCGUAGCAAAGUUAACAGGGUUGUGAAGAAGAUAAGGAAAUUUGACUUGAUUGGAGCUCUCUCAAUUUGCAUGGUUUGGUUAUUGGGUGAUUAUUUCCAGGUAGAAUGUGCUUGGUUUUUGGUUGAGCUCUUUUUUUUUUUUUGUGUUUUUUGGAUUGUAUAAAGGAAUUCUUUCUUGGUCUUUGAUAAAGAUGGACACGUAUCUUUGCUUGCUGGUUUUAGAUGCGUAGGUGUCGAACUGUUUGGAGACAUUUCAUGAAGUGGGUUCUAUUUUUCAUUGCUCUUUUUUUUUGUGUCCUGUUAAUAUUUUAGUUUCAAAUGCCUCUUUCCUCAUGGCUAUUGGUUGAGAAAAGAAAGAUCACAAGCAAUAGAGUUUGGGCAGUAGUCCUUGUUAAUGGGCAAUCGUGAUAAUGCUGCAAAGCUUGAUUUCCUUGAGGUGAAAUUCUAAUUUUUUUUUUUUUUUAUUCUAAUCACUUAGUUUUUGUCCACAUGCAUGACUUAUAGUCUUAAGAAAUCAUGGAUCUUGUCUAUAUGAAAUUAUGAAAUCAUGUUGAACAAAAUGAAGAACCUGACACGCCAAUCAAGAGAAAAGAGAAAAGAAGAGAAAAAAGAGGAGGAUGGAAAGUAAAGGUUAUAUUAUUACAGGCUACCCAACAAUUUUGAGAAGAAAUUAUGCAGCAAACUCAUACUUUUUUGCUGUAUAAUUUUUUUUGACCAAUUUUUUGUUAGUUAGUAUAUUUUCUGAUUUCCUACGAAGGUGAUAAUAUUGAUCGAGAAUUCAGUUGCAACAACUUUUGUUUUUGAUUUUUUUUGUUUACGGUUACAGUAUAGUUAGAGGGACAAUAUGUGGAGCAAUUAAGCAUAAAUUGAUACCGACCCCUCAAAAUUUGGUAGUUUCAACUCCGUUAACCACUUAUGAACCUUUUAAUUGGAAUCAAGCCUUCGUUGAAUUUGUAAGCUUGUCAUAUUUUUUUUUCCUUUACCUAUUAUUUUUUCCCGGGAUCUUUCUUUAGGCAGUUCGAAAGUUUAAGAGGCCGAUGAAGUGUAGUCUGUUUCGAGUAUUUUGACUAGUUUGGUUCGAUUUUGGCCCUUAUUGUUAGAUAGCUUCCUGAAAAAAAUUGGAAAUUUGAGGUUUAUACUUCUCAUAUUCAACUCUGUAUACACAUGCUUUGAUGCAGUGUAUAUAUUAUAUAUAUACACAUAUACAUAAUAUCUUGGGGAGCUGAAAGGGGAUGGAAUUUUGUUGGUUAAUAGGUACCAUGAAUAAUAUUGCGGAACAUGGAGUGAAAUGCAAUCCCUAUUUUUCUGAAAUAAUUCUUUCCCAUGCGUGUAUUGCAAAUCCAUUAUGAAUGUUUUCUUUCAGUUCAUUAAUCAUAUUGUAUUUUGCUUAUUUUCUCUUAAAUAGGUACCUUAUGUUUAUAGAAAUAUCAUAUCAUUUUCCUGCAAGAACUAAAUGUUGACGGAGCUGUAAAAGCACUUUUGCAGGCAGACCUAAAUCAGGCAAUUCAAAUGGCUUCAUACUGGGCAUCAUCAUCUGAACCUGCACAAGUUCAUGGUAAGAGUUAAGACUGCAUAUUUAAUACUCGGAUAGACAUGAGAUUGUCAACAACAAAAGUCCAGGUGAUGUUCCCAGAGACGUUUUGCUUGUAACCGUCGAGGGUGUUGAAACUGGUGAUGUGAGCAUUGAUGUCAUUCAAUUGUUUCCAGGAUCAGAGAUAGCACGGGGAGUCAGCUUAGUGGCUGGUGUAGCUGAUGUAAUAUAAUAGUUGUGGACAUGUAAUGUUUAAUAGAUUAGUAUUGUGUUUGGCCCUAGUUUUCUUUACCUUGUAAUCCCUAUUAACAUGAUCUUUAUGUAAAAGUUUUAAAUAUGUUUUAUGUUUGAACCAAGCUUGAGGCA